rnacentral:rRNA from 1 species
GACGAACGCUGGCGGCGUGCUUAACACAUGCAAGUCGAACGGAAAGGCCCCCAUCUUGGUGGGGGUGCUCGAGUGGCGAACGGGUGAGUAACACGUGGGUGAUCUGCCCUGUACUUCGGGAUAAGCUUGGGAAACUGGGUCUAAUACCGGAUAGGACCAUGGUUUAGUGUCUCAUGGUGGAAAGAUUAUUGUUUUGGUGCAGGAUGAGCUCGCGGCCUAUCAGCUUGUUGGUGGGGUAAUGGCCUACCAAGGCGUCGACGGGUAGCCGGCCUGAGAGGGUGGACGGCCACAUUGGGACUGAGAUACGGCCCAGACUCCUACGGGAGGCAGCAGUGGGGAAUAUUGCACAAUGGGCGAAAGCCUGAUGCAGCGACGCCGCGUGGGGGAUGACGGCCUUCGGGUUGUAAACUCCUUUCGUUAGGGACGAAGCCACGCUUUUGGGGUGUGGUGACGGUACCUUUGUUAAGAAGCACCGGCUAACUACGUG